GCAGGAGAUAUCUUACACACACGCACAACAGCCCUCCCCCGGGGACCAGCCGGCUCCUGUGUGUGCUGUGCCGUCUGCUAUGUGCCUCCGGGCUCCUCUCUUGGAGCUGCCGAGAACCAAGGAGGCUGCUGGAGCCUGAAGCGCUUUCUGGAGGCAGGUGGCGCAUACAGGCCUAAAGGUCAUAGAGUGGCCCUCGAGUCCCUCAAGUCUCAUGUCUGUCUGCUCUGAGAAUAGGGAGGAGCCUUCAAAUGGGAGGUCCUGGAUGGACUCUUGGACCCUGUGGGGAAGGCCAGAGGAUUGGAGCCAGGAACUGCGCCUCAUGGUGACCACGGAGGCCGUUGUCCAGGCCGCCAAGUCAGCAACGUCCAGCACUGUCAAGAUCCUGGCCGACUUUUUACCCUCUUCUAAGAGCACGGUGAACUCCUGUCUCGACUCUUGGAGCAGGAAGUCUUUCAAUUUAUUCAGGGAGUCCCAGAGAAUAAAAUCACAUCUCCCCAGCAGAGCCUGCUGAUUGGCAACACACAGUUGGAGGCUACCCAUGGAAUAAACCUUUCUUCCAAAGAG